rnacentral:rRNA from 1 species
UACGGGGGGGGCAAGCGUUGUUCGGAAUUACUGGGCGUAAAGGGCUCGUAGGCGGCCAACUAAGUCGGAUGUGAAAUCCCCAAGCUUAACUUGGGAACUGCAUCCGAUACUGGAUGGCUUGAAUCCGGGAGAGGGAUGCAGAAUUCCAGGUGUAGCGGUGAAAUGCGUAGAUAUCUGGAGGAAUACCGGUGGCGAAGGCGGCAUCCUGGACCGGCAUUGACGCUGAUGAGCGAAAGCUAGGGGAGCAAACGGG